ensembl:misc_RNA Metazoa_SRP Metazoan signal recognition particle RNA
GCCGGGCGUGGUGGCUCACGCCUGUAAUCCCAGCACUUUGGGAGGCCAAGGUAGGGGGAUUGCUUGAGCUCAGGAGUUCAAGACCAGCCUGGGCAACAUGGCAAGACCCUGUCUCUA